GGAGACCCUCCUUGUCCUGCAUGUGCCUCGACACUGCUUCCAGGACUGUCUUUUCCAUGAUCUUCCCAGGCACAGAGAAGCAAACUGAACAUGAGGGCUUGAUAACAUCUGAUCCAAGUGCUCUAAGCAUGUCCUGGCAUAUGGUAUCCUGAGUGAUGAGAGCAUGUCAGAUGGACCAUUUGGAUAAUGAAAGUGACCCAAACUCUCCCACAGACCACAUUUAGGUUAAGGAAAAGAUGGCUUUGAAUUGAUAAAGACGAUUUGUUUCUACUCUGCUGCGCUUCAGUAAUCUCAACUAUAUUUUAACCUGCCA